rnacentral:rRNA from 1 species
GUGGGGAAUCUUCCGCAAUGGACGAAAGUCUGACGGAGCAACGCCGCGUGAGUGAUGAAGGUCUUCGGAUUGUAAAGCUCUGUUAAUCGGGACGAAAGAGCCUAGUGUGAAUAAUGCUAGGAAGUGACGGUACCGGAAUAGAAAGCCACGGCUAACUACGUGCCAGCAGCCGCGGUAAUACGUAGGUGGCAAGCGUUGUCCGGAAUUAUUGGGCGUAAAGCGCGCGCAGGCGGAUCUGCCAGUCUGUCUUAAAAGUUCGGGGCUUAACCCCGUGAUGGGAUGGAAACUACAGAUCUAGAGUAGCGGAGAGGAAAGUGGAAUUCCUAGUGUAGCGGUGAAAUGCGUAGAUAUUAGGAAGAACACCAGUGGCGAAGGCGACUUUCUGGACGAAAACUGACGCUGAGGCGCGAAAGCCAGGGGAGCGAACGGGAUUAGAUACCCCGGUAGUCC